ensembl:ncRNA asRNA:CR45873 antisense RNA:CR45873
AUUAAUCUCCAUGGCUUUACUAUUAUUUCGAGCUAUUUACAAUUGUUGCUCAUAAAUAACUAGUUAAAUUUCUUUAGCAAUAGAACUUCUGGAAUAUAAAUACGCUUCAGCUUCGACUCCACAAAGCGCUCGUGUUGGGGUGUAAAUACCUCUGCAUUGUGGUUAAAAUCAGUCUUAUUAAAUUGCACCGCCUUCCUAUCCGCUGUUAAGGAUAUAUUAUAAUGCCGACAUUGGUCCUGCAAUCCUGUUGGCCCAUCGAACAACAGUAAACGCAACAAGUAAGGAACCGGCACCGUAAGCUGUUUGUUGUUGUAGGCAUGCGUGAAAAUCUGCAACAAACUCCUGCAAAUAUACAUACAUACAUAUGUAUUUACAUUAAAAAUGCAUCAUGUCAAUAAGAGAUCCAAUAGAAAAAGUUAUACUGUACCUCCUUAUCACCUGCAACUUGGCGGCAGCUACCGCGCACAGAAUAUGCGGCAAUUGUGGCACACCCAUGAGCACUCUAUACAAAUUGCCCUGUUGGAAGGCCAAACAGAUCCCAAAACAAAGCUUAAACGUCGCAUCCCGACGCACAUAGUCCGGUAAGGUGAGGGCGCGUGUAAAGGACUCGGGAGAACCCAGAUUAAACAAUUGAUACAGGCUCUCUAUGAAGCAGCGCCGCUCAAGCUCACGAACGGUGGGUUCUCUAGAUGAUUCCAAGUCCUCCAGUUCUUCGUAACAGCAAAGCACUCCCGUGAGGCACUCUUGCAAAUGCUGAUUGCAUAUCUUGAGAUCGAACUUCUCGAUGGGCUCCUCACACAAGCGAUAGCGACUAUAUGCCAGAAACAUCACAAUGGGCUCUAACAGGCAAAUCUUCUGACUGGCAUCGUACAUCUGGAUCACGAUCUCCCGACGCACCGCCCUCAAUCGAUCGAAUAUGAAGUCGUAAGCCACAUUGUACGGCUUUCGUGUGUCCAGG